AGGAUGGCUAUGCGUCUUAUUAGUUAGUAGGUGAGGUAACGGCUCACCUAGACAGCGAUAAGUAGGGGCCCUGAGAGGGGGAUCCCCCACACUGGUACUGAGACACGGACCAGACUCCCACGGGAGGCAGCAGUGAGGAAUAUUGGACAAUGGUCGAGAGGCUGAUCCAGCCAUGCCGCGUGCAGGAAGACGGCCUUACGGGUUGUAAACUGCUUUUAUACGGGAAGAAUAAUACCCACGUGUGGGUAGAUGACGGUACCGUAAGAAUAAGGACCGGCUAACUCCGUGCCAGCAGCCGCGGUAAUACGGAGGGUCCGAGCGUUAUCCGGAAUUAUUGGGUUUAAAGGGUCCGCAGGCGGGUCAGUAAGUCAGGGGUGAAAGUUUGCGGCUUAACCGUAAAAUUGCCUUUGAUACCGCUGGUCUUGAGUUGCGGUGAAGUGGCUGGAGUAUGUGGUGUAGCGGUGAAAUGCAUAGAUAUCACAUAGAACACCGAUUGCGAAGGCAGGUCACUAACCGCCGACUGACGCUGAUGGACGAAAGCGUGGGGAGCGAACGGGAUUAGAUACCCCGGUAGUCCACGCCGUAAACGAUGGACACUAGCUGUCGGGCCCGCUUUAGGUUCGGUGGCUAAGCGAAAGUGAUAAGUGUCCCACCUGGGGAGUACGUCGGCAACGAUGAAACUCAAAGGAAUUGACGGGGGCCCGCACAAGCGGUGGAGCAUGUGGUUUAAUUCGAUGAUACGCGAGGAACCUUACCAGGGCUUAAAUGUAGUGGGACAGGCUUAGAGAUAGGCUUUUCUUCGGACUCAUUACAAGGUGCUGCAUGGUUGUCGUCAGCUCGUGCCGUGAGGUGUCAGGUUAAGUCCUAUAACGAGCGCAACCCCUACCGUUAGUUGCCAGCGAGUAAAGUCGGGGACUCUAACGGAACUGCCGGUGCAAACCGCGAGGAAGGUGGGGAUGACGUCAAAUCAUCACGGCCCUUACGUCCUGGGCUACACACGUGCUACAAUGGCCGGUACAAUGAGCAGCCACGUCGCAAGGCGGAGCGAAUCUAUAAAACCGGUCACAGUUCGGAUCGGGGUCUGCAACCCGACCCCGUGAAGCUGGAAUCGCUAGUAAUCGGAUAUCAGCCAUGAUCCGGUGAUACGUUCCCGGGCUUGUACACACCGCCCGUCAAGCCAUGGAAGCCGGGAGUGCCUGAAGUCCGUCACCGCAA
rnacentral:rRNA from 1 species